rnacentral:rRNA from 1 species
GACGAACGCUGGCGGCGUGCCUAAUACAUGCAAGUAGAACGCUGAAGAGAGGAGCUUGCUCUUCUUGGAUGAGUUGCGAACGGGUGAGUAACGCGUAGGUAACCUGCCUUGUAGCGGGGGAUAACUAUUGGAAACGAUAGCUAAUACCGCAUAACAAUGGAUGACACAUGUCAUUUAUUUGAAAGGGGCAAUUGCUCCACUACAAGAUGGACCUGCGUUGUAUUAGCUAGUAGGUGAGGUAAUGGCUCACCUAGGCGACGAUACAUAGCCGACCUGAGAGGGUGAUCGGCCACACUGGGACUGAGGACACGGCCCAGACUCCUACGGGAGGCAGCAGUAGGGAAUCUUCGGCAAUGGGGGCAACCCGUGACCGAGCAACGCCGCGUGAGUGAAGAAGGUUUUCGGAUCGUAAAGCUCUGUGUAAGUCAAGAACGGGUGUGAGAGUGGAAAGUUCACACUGUGACGGUAGCUUACCAG